rnacentral:rRNA from 1 species
AUACGUAGGUGACAAGCGUUAUCCGGAUUUACUGGGCGUAAAGGGCGUGUAGGCGGUCUUGCAAGUCAGAAGUGAAAUUCCUGAGCUCAACUCGGGCGCUGCUUCUGAAACUGCAGGACUUGAGUGCUGGAGGGGAUAGUGGAAUUCCCAGUGUAGCGGUGAAAUGCGUAGAGAUUGGGAGGAACACCAGUGGCGAAGGCGACUUACUGGACUGUAACUGACGCUGAGGCGCGAAAGUGUGGGGAGCAAACAGGAUUAGAUACCCUGGUAGUCCACACUGUAAACGAUGAAUGCUAGGUGUAGGGGGUAUCGACCCCUUCUGUGCCGCAGUUAACACAAUAAGCAUUCCGCCUGGGGAGUACGGCCGCAAGGUUGAAACUCAAAUGAAUUGACGGGG